AUUGGACGCUGGCGGAAUGCUUUACACAUGCAAGUCGAACGGCAGCACGGGGCAACCUGGUGGCGAGUGGCGAACGGGUGAGUAAUAUAUCGGAACGUGCCCAAUCGUGGGGGAUAACGUAGCGAAAGUUACGCUAAUACCGCAUACGAUCUACGGAUGAAAGCGGGGGAUCGCAAGACCUCGCGCGAAUGGAGCGGCCGAUAUCAGAUUAGGUAGUUGGUGGGGUAAAGGCUCACCAAGCCAACGAUCUGUAGCUGGUCUGAGAGGACGACCAGCCACACUGGAACUGAGACACGGUCCAGACUCCUACGGGAGGCAGCAGUGGGGAAUUUUGGACAAUGGGCGCAAGCCUGAUCCAGCCAUUCCGCGUGCA
rnacentral:rRNA from 1 species